GCCAGUGUGGCGGAAUUGGUAGACGCGGCGGAUUCAAAAUCCGCUUCUUUCACGAGAGUGUGGGUUCGAGUCCCUCCACUGGUACCA
rnacentral:tRNA from 6 species